UCAGAAGCAAAUACGUGGGAAAGAACAAUACACACAGUUUCCAAAAAUGUUUUGACACAACGACUCAUAUCAGCUGUUUCAACGUUAGCUGAACAGUCUUUCAUUGUAAAAAGAUAGAGCGGCAGAUGUGGGAGUAACAUGCGAAUACACAUGAAUGGUCGAAAUAGAUGUGCGUACCGGGUCUACGGAAAGUAGACGCUUAAUGACGAUCUGAAAACGAAUGACAUUUUGAUCGCCAGUUUUACAAGAGCAGAGUUGUUUGGCUCCAUCAAGCAACGGAAUCAAAUUCUGAUAAAAUUACGCAAUUACGUAAAUUACUAUACAGAGAAUCAUGAACUUAUUGUAAAAUUGUACGAUUAUCGUAAAUUUGCAAAUUGCAGUCAAUAAAUCAAUCUCAUUUUGCAAAUGAA